GCCUACGGGAGGCAGCAGUCGGGAAUAUUGCGCAAUGGAGGAAACUCUGACGCAGUGACGCCGCGUAUAGGAAGAAGGUUUUCGGAUUGUAAACUAUUGUCAUCAGGGAAGAUAAAAGACAGUACCUGAGGAGGAAGCUCCGGCUAACUAUGUGCCAGCAGCCGCGGUAAUACGUAGGGGGCAAGCGUUAUCCGGAAUUACUGGGUGUAAAGGGAGCGUAGGCGGUUAAGUAAGUCUGGAGUGAAAGGCCGGGGCCCAACCCCGGGACUGCAUUGGAAACUACCGAACUAGAGUGUCGGAGAGGG
rnacentral:rRNA from 1 species